rnacentral:rRNA from 1 species
CAUACAUAAGCGGAGGAAAAGACCCCCACAGGGAUUGCCUUAGUAGCGGCGAGUGAAGCGCCAAAAGCUCAAAUUUGAAAUCUGGUACUUUCAGUAUCCGAGUUGUAAUUUGUAGAAGCAACUUUGGUGAUGGUCUUUGCAUAGUUCCUUGGAAUAGCACGUCAUAGAGGGUGACCAUCCCGUUUAUGGUGAAGAACCCACACUAUGUAAAGUGCUUUCGAAGAGUCGAGUUGUUUGGGAAUGCAGCUCAAAGUGGGUGGUAAAUUCCAUCUAAAGCUAAAUAUUGGCGAGAGACCGAUAGCGAACAAGUACUGUGAAGGAAAGAUGAAAAGAACUUUGAAAAGAGAGUGAAAAAGUACGUGAAAUUGUUGAAAGGGAAGGGAUCUAAAUCAGACAUGGUAUUUUGUGAUCAACAGUCUUUCGGGACUGUGCACUCGCAUUUUACUAGGCCAGCAUCGGUUAGAAGGGGGUAAAAAAGAUUUUGGAAUGUGGCUCCUCGGAGUGUUAUAGCCAAGGUUAAUUGCCCCAUUUCUGACCGAGGACCGCGUCUUUUGACUAGGAUGCUGGCUAAUG